UGCCAAACAUCAUACCAAGUUCUGAUGUUUUGGGAGAAGUACAUAAUUGAAUUAAGAUACAUGUACUAGAUUAUGUACAUGUGAAAGUUACUAAGUACAUAGUCCUUCAUGUCACCAGUUCGAGCCCCCGCAGGGCCACUAGAGGCAUUAUAAACCGGCCGCGUCUUCAGAAUUUCGUGGAACUAACCAUGGUGCACACAUUGAAACAGCGGAUCCCGAUGGAUACAGCUAGUCGGGUUUGCAAAACGAUGCCCGGAAACCACGGUUAAAAAAAAGUUACUUAGACAAAAUACUAUGUAAACAAUAUUGAUUUCUAAAUGUUGCACUUAUCCAACAGCCUUUUGAUUGUAUGUAUCAGAAUUAGAUUCGUGAUAAGUAGCGCAUCUAACUAGCUCCUAAGCUCAUUCGGGCUAAUAAAAGGUGUAACCAUUCACCGACCAAAGUAUUCCAAGGUUACUCAACCUAAUUAGCGUGACCACGACCUACUCAUUAUACACGGACGUCCCUUCGAUGCGGUCAUGGCUGUCCCUCGCCAACUGGCAAGAUUCAAAGCUAUAAAUAUGAAGAGAAAGAACCUUAAAAGGGGGGCUGCUUCUUCUUCUUCACCUUCACUUCUAAAAGAAGAGAAUAUAUAUCAUUGUAAGGCUCUGAACCUCUCGAUGGAGAGGCAGACCAAAUCGAUCCCAUCAAUAAAAUAUCUCUACCCUCC
rnacentral:lncRNA from 1 species